UACGUAGGGCGCAAGCGUUAUCCGGAAUUAUUGGGCGUAAAGAGCUCGUAGGCGGUUUGUCGCGUCUGCCGUGAAAGUCCGGGGCUCAACUCCGGAUCUGCGGUGGGUACGGGCAGACUAGAGUGAUGUAGGGGAGACUGGAAUUCCUGGUGUAGCGGUGAAAUGCGCAGAUAUCAGGAGGAACACCGAUGGCGAAGGCAGGUCUCUGGGCAUUAGCUGACGCUGAGGAGCGAAAGCAUGGGGGAGCGAACAGG
rnacentral:rRNA from 1 species